UACAGAGGGUGCGAGCGUUGUCCGGAAUCACUGGGCGUAAAGGGCGCGUAGGUGGUUGGGUAAGCGUGUGGUGAAAGCCCGGGGCUCAACCCCGGGUCGGCCAUGCGAACUGCCCGACUGGAGCACGGUAGAGGCCAAUGGAAUUCCGGGUGUAGCGGUGGAAUGCGUAGAGAUCCGGAAGAACACCGGUGGCGAAGGCGGCGUCCUGGACCAACACUGACACUGAGGAGCGAAAGCCAGGGGAGCAAACGGG
rnacentral:rRNA from 1 species